rnacentral:rRNA from 1 species
AUGGCUAGUCCUUUAUCUACUCCGCUGUCUCCCGAGAAUGAAGUUCUUAAUUUUAAACAAAGAGAGGGAGAAAGUCUAAAAGAUGCUUGGUAUAGAAUCUAUAACGCUCAAAAUAAAUCUGCUAGAAAGCAAUCUACUACCAUUUUACUUUGCAAUUUUUAUGUAGGCAUCACCCCUUGGCAUAGAUAUAUUCUUGAUACCAUUACCGGAGGAAACUUUUUUGGUAGCCAUACGUUUGAUUCUUAUAAUGCUAUGAUAGAUUUGUUUGGCUCACCACCUCUUUUGGUUAAUGGAACUAUUUUAACUUUGGAACAUGUGAUGCAACGGCUUGAAAUUAUUGAAAAUAAAAUUGCCACUGUAGAGUUGAUUGAAAUUUUGGAUAAAAAGAUCCAUAAUCAAAUUACCCAAUACGGAUCUAAGAUAGGAGUUGCUCUUAAUUUUUUUAAAGAAAAGGAACCUAUGGUUAAUGAAAGGAUAGAUCAAGAUUCCACUAGAAUUAAUAAAAUUGAGGAUAUUAUUACUAACCUAGGAUCUGCCUUUUCUUCCUUGAAAAACACUUCUUCCAAUGCUAAGCUUGCCAAGUUAAUGUAUGUUCCUAAGAAUAAGGGUGAAACUUCUAGUAAAGGGAAGGCGGACCUUAAAUCCAUAAGUGUUCACCCCGAUCUUUUCGCUAUCCUUAAGGAACCUUUUGCCACAAGAGAUUUCUUUGAUUUCGUGCCUAGAAGUUUGAUUAUUAAUAAAAAGAAAGAAACCCGUAGGGGUGAUAGGCGCCUUAUUGAAGAAUUGCCUACCAAAGAUGGCAAUACCUAG